rnacentral:rRNA from 1 species
UACGUAGGGUGCGAGCGUUAAUCGGAAUUACUGGGCGUAAAGCGUGCGCAGGCGGUUUCACAAGCUCGAUGUGAAAGCCCCGGGCUUAACCCUGGGAAUGGCAUUGAGGACGUGUGGAGCUCGAGUGCGGCAGAGGGAGGUGGAAUUCCACGUGUAGCAGUGAAAUGCGUAGAGAUGUGGAGGAACACCGAUGGCGAAGGCAGCCUCCUGGGCCGACACUGGACGCUCAUGCACGAAAGCCGU